rnacentral:rRNA from 1 species
UACGGGAGGCAGCAGUGGGGAAUCUUGCACAAUGGAGGAAACUCUGAUGCAGCGAUGCCGCGUGAGUGAAGAAGGCCUUUGGGUUGUAAAGCUCUUUUGUAGGGGAAGAUAAUGACUGUACCCUAAGAAUAAGGUCCGGCUAACUUCGUGCCAGCAGCCGCGGUAAUACGAAGGGACCUAGCGUAGUUCGGAAUUACUGGGCGUAAAGCGCGCGUAGGCCGUUGAGUUAGUUAAUUGUGAAAUCCCAAAGCUUAACUUUGGAACUGCAAUUAAAACUGCUCGACUAGAGUUUGAUAGAGGAAAGCGGAAUACAUAGUGUAGAGGUGAAAUUCGUAGAUAUUAUGUAGAACACCAGUUGCGAAGGCGGCUUUCUGGAUCAACACUGACGCUGAGGCGCGAAAGUAUGGGUAGCAAAGAGGAUUAGAUACCCUCGUAGUCCAUACCAUAAACGAUGAUUGCUAGAUGUUGGAAAUUUAUUUUCAGUAUCGCAGCUAACGCAUAAGCAUC